UGCCGCGUGAGUGAUGAAGGCCUUCGGGGUUGUAAAGCUCUUUUACCCGGGAAGAUAAUGACUGUACCGGGAGAAUUAACGCUCCGGCUAACUUCGUGC
rnacentral:rRNA from 1 species